AAAACUUUUAAUAGUAAUGCAGCACUUUUAGAAAAAAUAGCUUCUAUUUACUUUGUAGGGCCAAAAAUAAGGCAAAAUAAGGUAGAUUGGAAAAAUAAAUGAUAUAGACAUCUUUAGAAGGAAGUUAAGAGUAAAUUCUAGUAAAAAUUACUUAAAAAAACUAGAUGUUGAUACCCAGAGAUGGCCAGUUAUGAACCAGGGUCGAAAUCAGAUCUUGAGGCACAAUAUCAAGUCUCAACGAUGACUCCAAGACUCUUUGGCAGAUUGAAGAGUGGGAUUUGAUAGAAGAUUGGAUAGGG
rnacentral:lncRNA from 1 species